UGAUGUGAUGUUCCAAACUGUUUUAUUUGUUGAAAGCCACGAGGACUGGAUGAAUUAGGAUUGGGCCUCACCCCUGGUCACACGUUUGGCUCCCCAGUGCUGUGUGCAGUCCUCUACCUCUUGCCUCCACCCGGCUCCCUCCCCGCUCCUGCCCCAUUGGAUGGUCUUCCUGGCAUCGACUCUUGGUCACUCUGGACCUCGUUCUGCCUGAUCUACAUAGCCCUAUCUGCCCAGCUUCUGACCUGUGCUAUCAUUACAAACUGCCUUGUCCUUGUUACUACUGAUUCCUGGUUAUUGACCCAGGACAGUACGACCAUGUCAAUAAAGCUACCUAUUCUGUCA